UGUGCUCCGAUGCGCUCCACACAGGACACUGCACACAAAGAAUAUGUUCCACCGCUGAGCUCGAAGUCUUGCGUGAUCACAAGAUCUCACAAAAACAAAGAUUAGCAGACACUUCCGGUUAUGUGCCGAUCUUUGCCGAGCGGAUCGGAAGCAGGACCAUUGACAUCAAAGACUUUCUUUGGAAAAUAUUUCUUGCCGUCGGGGGAACCCACCUCUAUACAAAAUACAACAUCGGGCUGUCAAACUCCUGAAGUUGGCAGACGCCGCCACAGUCAGCCGCUUCAACAAAGAUGGUGACGAGUCUGCGUAUCAACAGGAAGUGGAGCGGCUGGAGCUUUCAUGCGGCCGACACAACCUGGAGCUGAACACGCUCAAGACUGUCGAGAUGAUUGUGGACUUCAGGAAAUCUUCCUUCGUCACAGCUGCCCCUCACGCUGUCCAACUGCCCCGUGUCAGCCACCUAGACCUUCAAGUUCCUGGGAAUUACAGUCUCUCAGGACCUGAAGAGGGAGACCAACAUCAACACAAUCGUCAAAAGGCCAAGCAGAGCGGGUUCUGAAGAAGCACGCCCUGCCACAGGAGCUGUUGAGGCAAUUCUACACAGCAGUCAUUGAAUCGGUUCUGUGUUCAUCCAUCACAGUCUGGUUUGGUGCUGCCACAAAGAAGGACAAAAUCAGACUGCAACGAACAGUCAUGGUUGCCGAAAUUUUUUAUCGGUAACCACCUACCCACUCUUGAGGAUUUGCACGCUGCUAGGACUGAAACAAGGGCAUGCAAAAUCCUCUUGGACCCUACACAUCCUGGUCACCACCUAUUCCAGCUCCUUCCCUCAGAAGAGGGAUGUGGGAGGAAACCGGAGUACCCGGAGAAAACCCACGCAGGCACGAGGAGAACAUGCAAACUCCACACAGGCGGGGCCGGGGAUUGAACCCCGAUCCUCAGAACUGUGAGGCUGACCCUCUAACCAGUUGGUCACCGUGCAUUAUGAAGCGUAAAAUACGACAACGGAGACCCGAACUGUUGAACAGCUGAAGCUGUAAAUCAAGCAAGAAUGGGAAAGAAUUCCACCUACAAAGCUUCAACAAUUAGUGUCCUCAGUUCCCAAACAUUUAUUGAAUGUUGUGAAAAGAAAAGGUGAUGUAACACAGUGGUAAA